GAAAAGAAAGCCAGGGGAGCCGCGGGUCCCGCCGGACACGCUGAGGACAGCUAGAGGUUCGCGCAGCAGCGGCUGCACCGAGAUCCCAAGCACGUUGUUUUCGUUUGGGAAAGGAUUUUUAUAUGGUUUGCUCUUUCCCUUUUAGUUCUUGGACGAUUUUCAUACACGUGUAUGAUGAAUUUUAGUCACUUCCUCCUCGUUACCCUCUCUCCUUUUCUGUCUCCUUUUCUGUCUUCCUUGUGUCUGGGUUGCGGGUGGGUCGGGGGCCCUCACCGAGUUUAGUAAGGGUUGCUUGCACGAGCACGAUGGAGGCUGAAGUCCCCGGAUUUCAUGACCUGGAUUCUGUAUUGUUUGGGUGUGACCUCCUCCAUCUACUGCCUCCAGCCCUUCUGCCCGCGUAUUCCUGCUCGCACUUUAAGGACUCAGGCAUUAUGCUUGCCUGUCCCCGUCACCUGGCAGAAUGCACUCGGGCAGUACCCGGGUCAGCCCAGGGGUCCGUGGUUGCGAAGUCUGCACGCAGGUGCAAAGGACCCCCUUUAAAAGAGAGAGACACACCCCCACCCCACCCCGCCCUCUUAUGCUCUCUUUCAGGCUCUCUUUCCCGCUGCUCCCUUGGGGCAGACAGGACUUUUCCUGUCUCCCUCUUCUCUUCUGUUCUCUCUCUGCCUCUGUGUCUCUUUUCUCUUUCCUCCGCCCCCCCUCCUUUCCCUUUCUAAUCUCACUUAAACUCUGCCUGCCUGGCAUGUUUGUCCCUCGCCUGCCAAGGUUCCCCACACAUUAUCAUAACACGCACUGUCUUGUCAAAUGCACCUUGUUACCUCGUCAGUCCAUUUCUUUAACUAGCCCCCAGUCCCCUUUCUGGUUUGAUAACCAACACUCAAAAGCAUCUAACUACGUACACAAGCUAAGAUCCACGUUCAAGAGUGAAUGGGUUAUCUGUCUUAAUACUUCACGGUUACCCCCCACUUACUAUAAUAAUUUCCAGAUUCAUCCUUUUUCCUUCCAAUUUCAUUUUAUCUUAGUAAUGAACAAAUAGCUUUUCUUUUUUUUCUUUAAUGGGCUUGGGAGGAACAUUCGUAAACCACUUGUACUUUCUGGUUGCCCUCUGGUGUGGGUGUGGCUUUUCUGGGUUUUUAGCCAAGGUUUACAAGCUGCACUUCUUGUGGGUAUCUCUGAUCUCGAAGCACAUUGUAAAGCGGGGUGUGGCUCUACUUCCUGUAACUGGUGAGUGAAAUGUAGCUGGAGAGAGAUGGCUCAGUAGUUAAGGUUACAUACAGAGGACCUGAGUUUGGUUCCUAGCACAUAUGACAGACAACUCAAAACCACCAGCAACUCGAGCUCCAGGGAAUCCAACACAGCCUUCUGACCUUCCUGGCCACCUGCAAAAUCCAUAGGCACACACCCAAGAAGGAGAGAAAGAAUCUGGGUCUUCUAUGGUUAACCACUGAGUAUGAGGUGUAGCUGACCUGCAACAUCCUGGGGAGUCCUGUCUUCACUUCCAUCUUGUCAAUGGCAUCCUGGUGUCUGAGCUUUUACAUGGUCUCAGGAGAAGCCGUUCUGGAGCAAGCCACUUGAGAGGGAUAGUCCUGAUGCGAGCCGAGGAGAUGGCCCCUUGGCCUCCCUACUGCUCACCCUGCGACAGGUCCAGAGAAAGCUGAGCAGAUCUCCGGGGACCACAUCCUCCAGCACCAUGUACAGGGGCAGCCUUUCUGUGCAGCAUCCUUCCAGCUGUACCAGGUUCUUCUGUUUCCCCAGGUAUUGAUAGAAUUGGAUUCGCCCUAUGAAAUCCUGGACCUCCUGGAGUCCAGUAGGUUCUAUGAAAAACAGAAGAACCAGAGCCAGGUCAGUGAAUGGUCAAGUGCAGCCAAUGAGUGGGAGGCAAGGAGCAAAGGGCAUGUACAGAUGGUGUUGUUCAAGUCCCCUUGUGAGAGAGGGACCAAAAGUGAAGAAAUGCAGCUAGAAAGGGGGCAGAAGGGAGACCAUGUAAAAGAGAGUGAUACUCAGUCAACGAUGCUUUCACAGAAAUAAUACAGUCAAGGGUCUUAGACCUGGACAGAUUUUCACCUGCCUGAAUAGACAGUGCUUUGCAUUACAUCACUGUCUGGACCUUGGCAUGGACACUUUUGUUUAUGUUAGCCCUUCCUUGUUUUAUUUUCUAUGCAUCCAGAGAGAAAGAGGAAGAAAGGAAAGAGACACAAUAUCAAGGAAGGGUGUAAGGACCUGAGAGAUGGUGAAAGCCAGUGACUGGUGACAUAGAAGCCUGAUGACUUUUCAGUCACUGGAACCCAAAAUGGAAGGAAAGAACCAACACCAGAAAGUUAACUUCUGACCUCACACUUGUGCAGCACACACCUGCACUCACACAUACAUACCAUGUACACACACACACACACACACACACACACACAUACACACACACUAAAUUAAUUUAAAAAGAAAUCAGACAUUAAAAAAAAAUCUCAUAAUCCUAUGACAAACAGCAAAGUAGCAUCCACUAUGGAAAGGUCCACUUUACUGGCAUCAGUUGGCAAGGGUUAGGUAGAGAUCUAAAGACCCAAGGAGAACAACUCUGCAUCAAGCUUCCCUGUACACAAUAAGCGUAUCUGCUGAUACAUACAUAUCUUAAUGUUUGCAGUUCCUGUUACUAUUAUUUCCAGGUACAGGCUCAGAGCAGAGAAGUAAAAAGGAUAGGAGUUGAUCUUCGUACUUUACCUUCUAAAACCUUGAGGACAACACUCUUUGGCUUGGGGUCGCCUCUGGUGGUCAUCAUGGCGUGAUAGAGGGUCCCACAACUGCCACUGUGGAUCUUUCCCAGAACAUCUGAGAGUUGUUCCCUGGGCACCUGAAGCUUAGCCAACUGAGGUGUGGCUGCUUGUAGAAAACUCUCCACAGAGGAGGUCUCCUUAAGUGGCAGGAGCACUUUUUCUCCUUGACCUGCUCCCUCCUGCCUUAGGUCACUAGAUGCAGCUGCAGAGGCAGUACCUAGAACAAAGAGAUGAUGUCCACCAUCUGUCCCCUGCCCUGGGGACACUGGAAAGGCAGACUUAACAAACUAAUCAGUCAGAUUUUUCAGUGACUAACACAAGGGCAUCUUCUGGUACUUCUCAGUGAAUGAGUGUCAACACUGAGCUCCUACAACAGUCACAAGAAUUCCAUUACUUGUAGGAAAACUAAAGAUGAAGCCCUCGAAAUUGGUCGUGUUUCUUUUUUAUCAUCCUUGGGAUUACCUUCAGUGCCCCCAUGGAUGUAGCACAGAGGCAGGACAGUUCUGAAAAGGAAUUCAUACCAUAGGUACCAAAAGGUAGUGUCACUGUCUUAAGUCAGUCACAUGACUUUCAAGAUUGAAGGAGGGGUAUAGGUAGACACUCAACCGUCAGCUGUAGCUUUUCUUUCUUCAGGUGAAAUCAUUCUAUAUUUCCAUAUUUCCAUGACUCUUAGUCAAAAGGUCUCCUGAGACUAGCUCCCAUCUGUAGCUACCUUUCCAGUUGGCCAAAAAAAAAAAAAGUUUCUUUCUUAAAUUUCCAAUCAUUUCUUAACCAGUCUGUCUGUUCAGUAUCACCGUAUACCAUACACUGUCUGUGAGUUGAGGAUAGGCACAGUUCAUAUCUGCCUAAGAUUAGUUUCUAAUCAUAGGACAUUAUGAAUGGAUGAGGCAAAAAAAAGAAUGGAUGAGGCAGUAUUAUGGAAGAAAAUAGCCAAAGGAGAUCCUACUUUAUCUAUAGAAGUCAAAGAAAGGCCUUUCAGAUAUGGCGGUGUUUAAUAAAGAUCUAGAAGCAUUUACAGAGCAAACCAGGAUGACACUGUAGUAGAUGGAACAAGAUGAAUGAAGGCACCAAGAGAAGAGUGCACAUGGGGUGUUCAAGGAGAAGCAAGGAAGGCCUUGCAGAUGGAAGCCAAGUUGGGUGGGUAGAGAGAUGUGGGAGGCCAGAGAGUCCAGAUCAUACAGGCCAUGGGAAGACCCUUGCUAUUUUCCAUUCUGUAGAACACAACAAGCUAUUGGAGGGUCUUAAACAAUAUGAACUGAGGCCAAUCAAGGCACUCAUGAAUCAUUUUGCGUUGGCAAGGUGGAACUAGAUCAAUGUAGUAUUAAAGGCAAUUAUAGAGAAAAUCAUUGGGAGUUCAAGAAGCAAAUGGCUUGCAUUUAUAGUUUGUAAGAUCUGAUUAUGGAUUGGACCUACUGAAAUCUUGGCCUACAGUUUCCUUAAAAUCCAUCUUGUCUGAGUCUGUACCUAUCCACAGGGUUUGAGACUUACUCCGAGGUCCAGGGCGCUGCCUUUGAGAUCUCUGUCCUCUGAUAAAUAGCCAUAGGAUGAUUGCAAGAAGGAUGAGGAAGCCACCAACCAGGAGAGCUGGAACAAUGAUGACUUCAUACUGUUGCUCCUGAACAACUGUUUAAGCCAUAAACAGAAAGAGAAAUAAGAAGCCUGCAAAUUUCCCCUACCCAUCAUAUCUCAGUGCUCCUCGUAUCCCCUGGUCCCCUUCAAUGGAGGCCCAUGGAGGGCAACCCUGCAUCUUAGACCAAUGAGUUCUUCUAUUCUGAUCUCUGACUGGCUUGUAGCCCCCACUGCAAAAAAAAAGUGAUGCUUGCUAGAAAUAAAAUCAGCUCUCCUCCUCCAGAA